rnacentral:rRNA from 1 species
GAUGAACGCUGGCGGCGUGCCUAAUACAUGCAAGUCGAGCGAACAGACGAGGAGCUUGCUCCUCUGACGUUAGCGGCGGACGGGUGAGUAACACGCGGAUAACCUACCUAUAAGACUGGGAUAACUUCGGGAAACCGGAGCUAAUACCGGAUAAUAUAUUGAACCGCAUGGUUCAAUAGUGAAAGACGGUUUUGCUGUCACUUAUAGAUGGAUCCGCGCCGCAUUAGCUAGUUGGUAAGGUAACGGCUUACCAAGGCAACGAUGCGUAGCCGACCUGAGAGGGUGAUCGGCCACACUGGAACUUAGACACGGUCCAGACUCCUACGGGAGGCAGCAGUAGGGAAUCUUCCGCAAUGGGCGAAAGCCUGACGGAGCAACGCCGCGUGAGUGAUGAAGGUCUUCGGAUCGUAAAACUCUGUUAUUAGGGAAGAACAAAUGUGUAAGUAACUAUGCACGUCUUGACGGUACCUAAUCAGAAAGCCACGGCUAACUACGUG